CAUGGAACCUGCAGGAACUAACCAUGUGGACAAAUGAAAAAUGCCUUUUGUCUACAACUUGCAGUGAUCCUACAUUGACAUGGAGGUCUCUGUCUGGCUUAGGACAGCAGACUAACUCUGAUCACUCUCCUCCAUACAGC